rnacentral:tRNA from 1 species
GGGUCGUUAGCUCAGUUGGUAGAGCAGUUGACUUUUAAUCAAUUGGUCGCAGGUUCGAGCCG